rnacentral:rRNA from 1 species
CCUACGGGAGGCAGCAGUGAGGAAUAUUGGACAAUGGGCGCAAGCCUGAUCCAGCCAUGCCGCGUGCAGGAAGACGGUCCUAUGGAUUGUAAACUGCUUUUAUACAGGAAGAAACACCUCUACGUGUAGAGACUUGACGGUACUGUAUGAAUAAGCAUCGGCUAACUCCGUGCCAGCAGCCGCGGUAAUACGGAGGAUGCAAGCGUUAUCCGGAAUCAUUGGGUUUAAAGGGUCCGUAGGCGGUUUAAUAAGUCAGUGGUGAAAGCCCAUCGCUCAACGAUGGAACGGCCAUUGAUACUGUUAAACUUGAAUUAUUAGGAAGUAACUAGAAUAUGUAGUGUAGCGGUGAAAUGCUUAGAGAUUACAUGGAAUACCAAUUGCGAAGGCAGGUUACUACUAAUAUAUUGACGCUGAUGGACGAAAGCGUGGGGAGCGAACAGGAUUAGAUACCCUGGUAGUCCACGCCGUAAACGAUGGAUACUAGCUGUUCGGAGCAAUCUGAGUGGCUAAGCGAAAGUGAUAAGUAUCCCACCUGGGGAGUACGUUCGCAAGAAGAGAAGUAAAUAGAGUAGAGAGUGAGAGAGACGAGACGACGACGAGGGAGAGG